rnacentral:lncRNA from 1 species
UUGAAUCAAUGGAUAAUUCUUUGUCUAAACAUUUCAGUGUUGAUUGACCCAGGAAUUGAAAUGUUUGCCCCUUCCUCACACUGUUCAACAAAAAGAUGACUGAUUGGAUUCAAGAAAUGAAAGGAAGAUAAGAAGCAAAGAUCAACUUGAGAUUGUGUUUUCACGGAUGAUGACUGAGGAUCUCCUCUAGUGUGGACCAGCCAUGUGACUUCGCAUGAUCUAUUCAAACUCUCGGAGAACUUCAACUGAACAAAUGUCUGUCAGGGACCUUCUUGCAUCCAAUUCAGAUACAAGACACACCUCCAUUCCUGGUUCACUAUGCAGAGAUGUCAUAACUCCUGUGGUAGUUAUCCCUGAAUCUAAUGAUCUAAUGUCAUCCAAGUUGUCUUCCUUCCUAAAUUUUUGUAUUACUGAUAACUUAUAAAUUUGGCUAUUAGAUAAUAAUACGAUCUCGGCAAAUACAAAUAAUGCUGCUUUCAGCACUGCAUGUAAAUUGUGUGUGACCGCAAGCUAUUGAUCACUUGAGUAAAUACAAACAUGCAGGACGGUGAUUUUGGAACCACACACAGUAUGUUUGCUUCAGACAUUUUGUCACUUUGAGAGACAUGUGACUAGCACGAAAAGCUGAGGAACAUACAUAGAGUCUGGCUGCUUCAGACAGUUUUCCUAACAUCAAUCCAAGAAAUGGACUGGGAGAUAAAGAGCUCAGCCAGGUAUGAGAAUGAGAACAGGGGAGCUGUUCCCCACCAUUCCAUAAU